rnacentral:rRNA from 1 species
GUCCAAGCAGUAAACGGUGAAUACUAAAUAUAAGGUAAAACUUUGUGUUAAAGAUAACUCAUUAAGUAUUCCGCCUGAGUACUACGAUCGCAAGAUUAAAAUUCAAAAUAUUUGACGGUUCCUAAUUUCCGUCCGGAGGAGCAUGUGGUUUAAUUCGACAACCCACGAGUAACCUUACCUAACCUGGUUUAAAUAAAAUAUUGACAAUGUCAUUAAUUUAAUCAGAUGCUGCAUGGCUGCCGU